rnacentral:rRNA from 1 species
GUGGGGAAUAUUGGACAAUGGGCGCAAGCCUGAUCCAGCCAUGCCGCGUGAGUGAUGAAGGCCUUAGGGUUGUAAAGCUCUUUCAGUGGGGACGAUAAUGACGGUACCCACAGAAGAAGCCCCGGCUAACUUCGUGCCAGCAGCCGCGGUAAUACGAAGGGGGCUAGCGUUGUUCGGAUUUACUGGGCGUAAAGCGCACGUAGGCGGAUCGUUAAGUCGGGGGUGAAAUCCUGGAGCUCAACUCCAGAACUGCCUUCGAUACUGGCGAUCUUGAGUCCGGAAGACGUGAGUGGAACUCCUAGUGUAGAGGUGGAAUUCGUAGAUAUUAGGAAGAACACCAGUGGCGAAGGCGGCUCACUGGUCCGGUACUGACGCUGAGGUGCGAAAGCGUGGGGAGCAAACAGGAUUAGAACCCCCUGUAGUCC